rnacentral:rRNA from 1 species
CCCUCUCUUGUUUUUACCGCCUAUAUACCGCCGUCCGUCCAGCUUUACCCUGUGAAGGUCCCAUAGUAAGCAUAAUCAGCACAACUCAAAACGCAAGGUCGAGGUGUAGCAUAUGAGAGGGCAAGAAAUGGGCUACAUUCCCUAAAUCCGGGCAUACGAAAAACAUAAUGAAAAAUAUGUCAUGAAGGAGGAUUUAGCAGUAAGCAAGAAAUAGAGAGUCUCGCUGAAACUGGCCAUGAAGCGCGUACACACCGCCCGUCACUCUCCCCGAAAAAACUAAACAAAUAUAUAAAACCCUAAUCUUAACAGAGGGGAGGUAAGUCGUAACAUGGUAAGUGUACCGGAAGGUGCACUUGGUAAA